rnacentral:rRNA from 1 species
GUAGUCAUAUGCUUGUCUCAAAGAUUAAGCCAUGCAUGUCUAAGUAUAAGCAAUUAUACCGUGAAACUGCGAAUGGCUCAUUAAAUCAGUUAUCGUUUAUUUGAUAGUACCUUACUACUUGGAUAACCGUGGUAAUUCUAGAGCUAAUACAUGCUUAAAACCCCAACUUCGGGAGGGGUGUAUUUAUUAGAUAAAAAACCAACGCCCUUCGGGGCUUCUUGGUGAUUCAUGAUAACUUUACGGAUCGCAUGGCCUUGCGCCGGCGACGGUUCAUUCAAAUUUCUGCCCUAUCAACUUUCGAUGGUAAGGUAUUGGCUUACCAUGGUUUCAACGGGUAACGGGGAAU